rnacentral:rRNA from 1 species
AUUGAACGCUGGCGGCAGGCCUAACACAUGCAAGUCGAACGGUAACAGGAAGCAGCUUGCUGCUUUGCUGACGCGUGGCGGACGGGUGUGUAAUGUACGGGAAACUGUACGAUUGAGGGGGAUAACUACUGGAAACGGUAGCUCAUACCGCAUAUCGUCGCAAGACCAAAGAGGGGGACCUUAUGGCCUCUUGCCAUCGGAUGUGCCCAGAUGGGAUUAGCUAGUAGGUGGGGUAACGGCUCACCUAGGCGACGAUCCCUAGCUGGUCUGAGAGGAUGACCAGCCACACUGGAACUGAGACACGGUCCAGACUCCUACGGGAGGCAGCAGUGGGGAAUAUUGCACAAUGGGCGCAAGCCUGAUGCAGCCAUGCCGCGUGUAUGAAGAAGGCCUUCGGGUUGUAAAGUACUUUCAGCGGGGAGGAAGGGAGUAAAGUUAAUACCUUUGCUCAUUGACGUUACCCGCAGAAGAAGCACCGGCUAACUCCGUG